rnacentral:misc_RNA from 1 species
GAUGAAGAACGUAGCGAAAUGCGAUAAGUAAUGUGAAUUGCAGAAUUCAGUGAAUCAUGGAAUCUUUGAACGCACAUUGCGCCCCUUGGUAUUCCGAGGGGCAUGCCUGUUCGAGCGUCAUUAUAACCCCUCAAGCUCAGCUUGGUGUUGGGGCCUGCUGCACUGGCAGCCCUUAAAAUCAGUGGCGGCGCCAUCUGGCUCUAAGCGUAGUAAUUCUUCUCGCUAUGGAGUCCUGGUGGAUGCUUGCCAUCAACCCCCAAUUUUUCUAUGGUUGACCUCGGAUCAGGUAGGGAUACCCGCUGAACUUAAGCAUAUCAAUAAGCGGAGGA